UAAGAUAUGGGUUAUGUUGAGCAGAGGCCAUUAUUUCUCUUGCUUUAGCCCCCAUUAUGAAUUUUGAUAUUACUAAUGCUAUGAUCUAAUUAUUGAAUCUAAAGGUUGUAUUUUAAAGUGCAGCUAAGGAUGAUGUAAACAUACACCUUGCUAAUUUUCUUGGGAUAUGCACAUCUUAUACUAUUCCUGGGGUGGAUCAAAAAGCAUUAACAUUGAGGUUGUUUCCAUUUUCCUUGACAG
rnacentral:lncRNA from 1 species